rnacentral:rRNA from 1 species
UACGUAGGGUGCGAGCGUUAAUCGGAAUUACUGGGCGUAAAGCGCGUGUAGGCGGCGUGGUAAGUCGGAUGUGAAAUCCUUCGGCUCAACCGAAGAAGUGCAUUCGAUACUGCCUCGCUUGAGUAUCGGAGGGGAUGGCGGAAUUCCCGGUGUAGAGGUGAAAUGCGUAGAGAUCGGGAGGAACAUCCGUGGCGAAGGCGACUACCUGGACCAGCACUGACACUGAGGCACGAAAGCGUGGGGAGCAAACAGG